AUCCAGCUGAAGAGUCCCAGAUAGGACGAGACGCGCAACUUGGAU
rnacentral:hammerhead_ribozyme from 1 species